rnacentral:rRNA from 1 species
GUAGGGUGCAAGCGUUAUCCGGGAAUCAUUGGGCGUAAAGAGCUCGUAGGCGGUUCAGCAAGUCGGCUGUGAAAUUCCGAGGGCUCAACCUCGGAACUGCAGUCGAUACUGCUGUGACUCGAGUCGGUAGAGGAGAAUGGAAUUCCCGGUGUAGCGGUGAAAUGCGCAGAUAUCGGGAGGAACACCAGUAGCGAAGGCGGUUCUCUGGGCCGGCACUGACGCUGAGGAGCGAAAGCGUGGGUAGCAAACAGGAUUAGAUACCCUGGUAGUCCACGCCGUAAACGUUGGAUACUAGGUGUGGGGUUCCGAUCAACGGUCCCCGUGCCGAAGCUAACGCAUUAAGUAUCCCGCCUGGGGAGUACGGCCGCAAGGCUA